rnacentral:misc_RNA from 1 species
AACCAUUCUCACCUGCGGCUAGACCUGCGGAGGGAUCAUUAAAGAUUGACCGAAAGGUCUUAUCUCUAUAUCCCUCACCUCUGUGAACUGUGGACCUCCGGGUCUAUUUAACAAACAUCAGUGUAAUGAACGUAUAUAUCAUUAAACAAAACAAAACUUUCAGCAAUGGAUCU